rnacentral:lncRNA from 1 species
GUUGCAGUGAGCUGAAAUCACACCAUGGCACUCUAGCCCAGGGAACACAGUGAGACUCCAUCUCAAAAAAAAAAAAAAAGAAAAAGAAAAAGAAAAACGUUUCAGGAUGAUGGGGUUCACUCUGGGUUAAGAAAACUUGAAUAUUGAAAUAAGUCGUGAGAGCAAUGAGUAUAAUCCAUUGAAUAAAAUAAGAAAAAGAGGAAAAAAUUGUUAACAUUUGUUAAGUUGAAGUAAAUGGCAGUUGAGAAUUUUUUAUAUCAUUCUCAAAACUUGUCUUUAGGUGUGAUACUUUAUUAAAACAAAAACCUUUAAAAAAGUAUCUCACAAGAUAUAAACAGAGGAUAAAAAAGCAUGCAUGCAAGAGCAAUGGAAGUCAUUUCAGCCAUAACUGAGAAAUGGACAUUUAAGGCUCUAAAGUCCCUACCACAGGGUUUUAUUUUCUUGUUAUUACAGUCCUAUCCCAACAGACAACCAAUGACAUACGGCUUCUUGUGAGAUUCUUCUUGUUGCUCAAUAAUAGGUAUAAAGCUUAGUGUUUACAGUAGAAAAUAGGUACUAAAAAACUACUGCCAUGUUCCCAUUCUGGGUGAGAUGGAAUGAGUGUGCUUCACACUUGAUCUUCCAGUGAAUGCUGUCAUAAAACCUGGACAGUAUGCAGCCUGGAGAAACUCUUUGAAGAUUGUAAUGUAAAUACCAGCAAGCAAAUUGCAGAAGAACAUCAGACUUUGAAGCCAUUAAACGAAAAACAGGAGGUGCUGGGGACCAAGUGUUUGGCUUUAAAUGCUCAAAGGGAGAGUCAUGUCAAAGGAAUAUGAAAACAGCAAAUCCAAGUGAUGCAAGUUCGAUGUGGACUUCUGAUAAACGUGAAUACCAACCUGUCUGAGAGGAAAACCCUGGACAAGUCUUCCUUAUUGUUUUAGUUCUAUUGUGCCACAUUCUUCCUCAGAGCAAGAAUUUGUUAGAUUGGCAUCAAAGAUAAACGAAGACUAACACAAUUUAAAGUGGGAAGGACAUAUUUUAAUCUGUAAUAACUAUUACAGUAGGAAAAAGCCCAGCAUGAACUGAACUCAACUUUAAUUUGUUCAGAGGUGAUUGAAUGCUUAAAGAGACAAUGAGGGCAUGGGGAGGGAGGCAAGGGGGGCCAGUAGAGCCAGCAAAGUGAAAAUUACAAAAAGCAGGAAGGGUAGAUUGUCCACAUAAAAGCCAUCUGGGCUUGCUAAAUAGUCCUUGUCAAAGUUAGACUCCUGCCCUUCCAUACACACUAGUGAACAAGGGCCCCAUCUUUAGCUGUUGGCUGAAGCAAACAGUAACUGCUUUCUUUGGGCAGCCUCGAGUUUUCUCAGGCAGGCACCUUAGGGGGGACCGGGGUCAUUCUAGGGAUGCAACCUUGAGCUCACAGAAACUAUAUCAAUGUUAUUUCAAGUCUUUUUUUUUUUUUUUUUCUGUGGCAGAGUCUCGAUCUGAGGCCCAGACUGGAGUACAGUGGCACGAUCUCGGCUCACUGCAACCUCCGCCUCCUGGGUUCAAGCGAUUCUCCUGUAUCAGUUCUCAAGUAGCUGGGAUUACAGGCACCAGCUACCACGCCCUGCUAAUUUUUUCUAUUUUUAGCAGAGACAGGGUUUGCCGCGUUGGCCAGGCUAGUCUCCAACUCCUGACCUCAGCUGAUUAGCCCGCUUCGGCCUCCCAAAGUGUUGGGAUUACAGGCGCGAGCCACUGCACCUGGCCCUAGUUCAAGUCUUUUUAAGCCAAGGUCAAGGCCUACUUGGGGAGCAGUCUCUGACGAUCCUAGCUAGAGUUUGUUCAAGGCAGAUUAUUUGUUGGUAGUCUGAGGCAUGCCUGGCUUCUAGUCUGCUUUUUAGACAACCACCAGGUUAGUGCGAUGGGAUUUUGAGCCAUCCUGGUAAAUUCUUUGUUCAGUACCUCAUUCUCUAUACUUUCCAGCAAUUUCCUAAAGAAGACUCACAAUUUUUUAAAAACAAGCUAGCCAAAAAGAUAAUUCUGGUAUAUUAAUAUAACAUCUCUGCCUCAUAGUCAUAAUAUGUUGAAAGGGGAAUGGGCAAGUUAAAGUCUAGGGAGCGCUUUAGUCUGCAGGGAAAUAGUUUCUUGUUCCCAGGGCAGAGUUAUUCACUCCUGGCUUUCUACAGAAACAGAGACUAUUUGGAAAUAAUAACAUAAUUAAUAACGCCAGCAGAAGGUGCCUCUUACAAUAAAUAAUGCUAAUGAUAAAGAUUGAGUCAUCAUCACAUUGCAUAAGAGAUAAAUUUAUGUGGUUCCCACUUAUCAAUUUCAGUAUUCUUAAUGAAUUAGUAGACAAGGUCGUCUGCUGAUGAAUGAAAGCCAAGUGUUGGGUACAAGGAGAAUAAUGAAGUUUUGAAAUGGCUGUAAAAACCAAAAUAAAUUCUAGCAGGAAUGGGUAAAUGAACUGCAGCAUAACAAUGAGGUCACAACAUUCAAUUAAGAACAUAUUCAACAUUCAAUUAACAUUCAAUUAAGAGCAUAUAGUGAUACAAACCAUAUCUUUCAGGUUGAUUUGAUUCUAUACUUUUCAUACAAAAGACAGGCUUUGCUUUUCUUCUGUAUCAGAAACUCAUUCUACAAUAUUUGACAAAUUGUCUUGAAGACUAAAAAAUGACAGAAAAUUUACUUCAAUAUGUAAAAAAAUGGUUAAGUAGUUCUUAUUUUAAAAAUCCAUAUAUUGAGGCAAAAUACUUGUUUUGUUAUUUCUGUCUGUUUCUUCUGAAUCUGUUCCCUUGAACUUUAUCACUGAAGAUUUUUCUAUCAGCCUUUUUCAAUAAACAGAUCCUGUUGACUCAUGAACCUGUCUCAUCACCUCCGUGGGGCGGGUAGAGCCAGCUAAAGUUCAGAUAUAUGCUUUGUCCAUGGAGGAACAAAUAUAUUUUGUCUGUGCAGUGGCUCUUUCUCUUCUGAAAAGUAUCUAAACUCAGAGUUUAUUGCCCUAAGUAUCCAAACAUGCUUAUUAUUCAGUUUCUCAUCUUGUUCAAUUUGUUUAAUGGAUAGAACAUUCUUAUUUGAUACAAGAUGUUCAUACUAAGAUAUACUCAAGAUAAUUUUAACAUAUAAAUAGGAAAAGGUGAUUUUUGUAAUAGAUUUUACAAAUAGACAAAAAGGAGGAGGAAUGAUUGUACUAGGCAUAAUUAGUGCCUGCAGCUUUUCUCCACUUCUCACAGCUUUAAGCCAAACAUGUAAACUACAGCACCAGCUCAAUCGUAAGGUGAUUUUAUUUCUUAGAAGUCAAGUAAAAAAAAUUACUGGCCAACAUCUAAAAGAGCUUUUUUCUAUUUUAUAGUACAUAUGUGCAAUAGCAAACAGAAGUCUUGCAGUAAAGUGAGUUUCCUAAGAAGUGAGAAUGUAACAUAUAGAGGAGUCACAGUGCAUAAAGCACAAUAAGUAUAAAUCAGCCACAAAGCUCAAGGUCUGCAUAGAAAUUGUUUAUAGUAACCCUGCUAUAAAGCCAACAAAAAAGAAACAGUUUUAAUUUAUAAGACAUUUAAGUUAAUGUUGUUAUACAGGGUCAUUUAACUAAGAGUCACAGCUUCAAGGUAUACUGUUAGUCUGUACUAUGUAUUUACAAUUUACUUGCAAGAAAUAUAAAAUGUCCUCUGUAUCUGCAGGAUCAAGAGGAUAUAUAGCACUAUGAGAUACAUGUCCUGAAAGUUGUAAAAGAAAGCUAUCUUCUACCUGAAGUUGAGAUUUAGAACAUAGGCUACAUUUACAGACAUUUUUACUUUUAGAAUUUGGCUGAAUAUUCCAGAAUUGAUUGUACAGAAGUGAGGGAAACAAGACAUUGAAAUAUUUCCCUGCAAAGAAAAACUGGAGAGCAGUGUACCUUAAACCUAAAUAAUAAAAGCUUCUACCCUUAUGUCUACAUGUAAUACUUUAAACCAGACUUGACUUAUUUCAACCAUUCACUGCCUAAAGAAGAGAUUUGGAAAUGCUAUUGUCCUCUUUGUUCUUCACUAACUAAAAUAGAAGUUAAAUUUAUUUAAUCAAGCAUUGCAAGUCUAUCAUGAAGUACUCCUAACCUAGGCUGAC